UACGAAGGGGGCUAGCGUUGCUCGGAAUUACUGGGCGUAAAGCGCGCGUAGGCGGCUUUCUAAGUCGGGGGUGAAAUCCUGGAGCUCAACUCCAGAACUGCCUUCGAUACUGGAGAGCUCGAGUCCGGGAGAGGUGAGUGGAACUGCGAGUGUAGAGGUGAAAUUCGUAGAUAUUCGCAAGAACACCAGUGGCGAAGGCGGCUCACUGGCCCGGUACUGACGCUGAGGUGCGAAAGCGUGGGGAGCAAACAGG
rnacentral:rRNA from 1 species